rnacentral:misc_RNA from 1 species
UUAAGUUCAGCGGGUAUUCCUACCUGAUCCGAGGUCAACAUUCAGAAGUUGGGGUUUUACGGCAUGGCCGCGCCGCGUUCCAGUUGCGAGGUGUUAGCUACUACGCAAUGGAGGCUGCAGCGAGACCGCCAAUGUAUUUCGGGGGCGGCACCGCCCAGAAGGGCAGAGCCGAUCCCCAACACCAAACCCGGGGGCUUGAG